rnacentral:rRNA from 1 species
GACGAACGCUGGCGGCGUGCCUAAUACAUGCAAGUUGAGCGCUGAAGGUUGGUCCUUGUACCAACUGGAUGAGCAGCGAACGGGUGAGUAACGCGUGGGGAAUCUGCCUUUGAGCGGGGGACAACAUUUGGAAACGAAUGCUAAUACCGCAUAAAAACUUUAAACACAAGUUUUAAGUUUGAAAGAUGCAAUUGCAUCACUCAAAGAUGAUCCCGCGUUGUAUUAGCUAGUUGGUGAGGUAAAGGCUCACCAAGGCGAUGAUACAUAGCCGGCCUGAGAGGGUGAUCGGCCACAUUGGGACUGAGACACGGCCCAAACUCCUACGGGAGGCAGCAGUAGGGAAUCUUCGGCAAUGGACGAAAGUCUGACCGAGCAACGCCGCGUGAGUGAAGAAGGUUUUCGGAUCGUAAAACUCUGUUGGUAGAGAAGAACGUUGGUGAGAGUGGAAAGCUCAUCAAGUGACGGUAACUACCCAGAAAGGGACGGCUAACUACGUG